rnacentral:rRNA from 1 species
AGAGUUUGAUCCUGGCUCAGAUUGAACGUUGGCGGCAGGCCUAAAACAUGCAAGUCGAACGGUAACAGCGAGAGCUUGCUCUCGGCUGACGAGUGGCGGACGGGUGAGUAAUACGUAGGAAUCUACCUAGUAGUGGGGGACAACCCGGGGGAAACCCGGGCUAAUACCGCAUACGCUCUACGGAGGAAAGCGGGGGAUCUUCGGACCUCGCGCUGUUAGAGGAGCCUGCGUCGGAUUAGCUAGUUGGUGGGGUAAAGGCCUACCAAGGCGACGAUCCGUAGCUGGUCUGAGAGGACGAUCAGCCACACUGGAACUGAGACACGGUCCAGACUCCUACGGGAGGCAGCAGUUAGGAAUCUUGGGCAAUGGGCGAAAGCCUGACCCAGCCAUGCCGCGUGUGUGAAGAAGGCCUUCGGGUUGUAAAGCACUUUCAGCGGUGAAGAAAAGCUCGGGGCUAAUACCCCUCGAGUCUUGACGUUAACCACAGAAGAAGCACCGGCUAACUCCGUGCCAGCAGCCGCGGUAAUACGGAGGGUGCGAACGUUAAUCGGAAUCACUGGGCGUAAAGCGCGCGUAGGCGGUCUGUUAAGUGGGAUGUGAAAUCCCCGGGCUUAACCUGGGAAUUGCAUUCCAAACUGGCCGACUAGAGUACGGUAGAGGGAGGUAGAAUUUCCUGUGUAGCGGUGAAAUGCGUAGAUAUAGGAAGGAAUACCAGUGGCGAAGGCGGCCUCCUGGAUCGAUACUGACGCUGAGGCGCGAAAGCGUGGGGAGCAAACAGGAUUAGAUACCCUAGUAGUCC